UACGUAGGCAGCGAGCGUUGUUCGGAGUUACUGGGCGUAAAGGGUGUGUAGGCGUUUGUUUAAGUUUGGUGUGAAAUCUCCCGGCUCAACUGGGAGGGUGCGCCGAAUACUGAAUGACUUGGAGUGCGGGAGAGGAAAGUGGAAUUCCUGGUGUAGCGGUGAAAUGCGUAGAUAUCAGGAGGAACACCGGUGGUGUAGACGGCUUUCUGGACCGUAACUGACGCUGAGACACGAAAGCGUGGGUAGCAAACAGG
rnacentral:rRNA from 1 species